AUUGAACGCUGGCGGCAGGCCUAACACAUGCAAGUCGAACGAGUGGCGGACGGGUGAGUAAUGUCUGGGAAACUGCCUGAUGGAGGGGGAUAACUACGGGAAACGGUAGCUAAUACCGCAUACCAUCGGAUGUGCACAGAUGGGAUUAGCUAGUAGGGGGGGUAAAGGCACACCUAGGCGACGAUCCCGAGCUGGUCUGAGAGGAUGACCAGCCACACUGGACCUGAGACACGGUCCAGACGCCUACGGGAGGCAGCAUUGGUGAAUAUUGGACAAGGGGCGAAAGCCUGAUCCAGCCAUGCCGCGUGUGUGAAGAAGGUCUUCGGAUUGUAAAGCACUUUAAGUUGGGAGGCGUUACCAACCGAAUAAGCACCGGCUAACUUCGUGCCAGCAGCCGCGGUAAUAC
rnacentral:rRNA from 1 species